ACUGCGAGUUCGCGGGAGAGUAGGUUAUUGCCAGGGUUUUUAUUUUUAUAUUUUAAAUCUUGAUUUUAUUUUAUAUUUUUUAAAUGUUAGUGUUUUUGAAUAUGUUAUUCAAAUAAUAUAAAAAAUAAAAUAUAUAUUGACAUGGAUUAAACAAAGAUAUAUAUUAUUUUAUGUUGCAUAAACAAAUUGGCAAAAUAGAGAUGGAAGAUAAAAAUAUGGUCAAAGUAAUAAGAGUCUAUGGUGAAUGCCUAGGA
rnacentral:misc_RNA from 1 species